GUACAUGUGUGACCUCGGCCUCAAUCUCUGCAAAUACACCUCAAAUGCACACUUCAGAUACAUGUGUGACCUCUACGGCCCCAAUCUCUGCAAAUACACCUCAAACACACGCUUCAGCAGGAGCAUCUGCCAACAAACAAGGUGGGAAAGGAUGG